GCGAAUUUAGGAUUUGAACAUCAUGAAUGGCAACGGAACUUACUAACCACUUGAGUUGGGUGUAUAUGAAAUUUAGUAUUUGUAUAUAUUUAGUAGAUUUCUCAACACACGUACGAAAUGUUAUACUGUCUUCAAAGAAGCUGAAAAAAUUUACUUGUCACACAAAUAUCUUCUAAAACUUCAAAAGAAACCAAAAACAAAUAAACACAACACAAGAAUAUAAGUUCCCACCAUCAGCCAAAUUCAGCUUCACCAUAAGUUUACCAGUCUAAUAUAUCAGCAAUCUAUACCGCACACAGCUGACUAACGAUCAGCUUGGGCACGUUUAUGCAUCCACUCAUAGCUGAAGUAUCAGUGUCUCGAUAGCCUCCUAACCCUGCAAUAUUAGCUCAUGUAAGUCCCCUACUAUAUCAAAAAUGAAGCAGCCAGACACUUAUUAAACCUUACCGAGGAGAACGAGACCGGCAAAUGGAACGAGAAAGCGAGUGUUAACUAGAG
rnacentral:lncRNA from 1 species